rnacentral:rRNA from 1 species
UACGGGGGGAGCAAGCGUUGUUCGGAUUUACUGGGCGUAAAGGGCGCGUAGGCGGCCACUGCAAGUCAGUUUGUGAAAUCUCCGGGCUUAACCCGGAAAGGUCAACUGAUACUGCAGGGCUAGAGUGCAGAAGGGGCAACUGGAAUUCUCGGUGUAGCGGUGAAAUGCGUAGAUAUCGAGAGGAACACCUUGCGGCGAAGGCGGGAUUGCUGGGCUGACACUGACGCUGAGACGCGAAAGCCAGGGGAGCGAACGGG